rnacentral:rRNA from 1 species
GGAAUAUUGGACAAUGGGCGCAAGCCUGAUCCAGCAAUGCCGCGUGAGUGAUGAAGGCCUUAGGGUUGUAAAGCUCUUUCGCCCGCGACGAUGAUGACGGUACCUGAAGAAGAAGCCCCGGCUAACUUCGUGCCAGCAGCCGCGGUAAUACGAAGGGGGCUAGCGUUGCUCGGAAUCACUGGGCGUAAAGCGCACGUAGGCGGCUUUCUAAGUCAGGGGUGAAAUCCUGGAGCUCAACUCCAGAACUGCCUUUGAUACUGGAGAGCUUGAGUUCGGGAGAGGUGAGUGGAACUGCGAGUGUAGAGGUGAAAUUCGUAGAUAUUCGCAAGAACACCAGUGGCGAAGGCGGCUCACUGGCCCGAUACUGACGCUGAGGUGCGAAAGCGUGGGGAGCAAA